rnacentral:rRNA from 1 species
UACGUAGGGAGCAAGCGUUGUCCGGAAUCAUUGGGCGUAAAGCGCGCGUAGGCGGCCCGAUAAGUCCGCUGUAAAAGUCAACGGCUCAACUGUUGAAAGCCGGUGGAUACUGUCGGGCUAGAGUACGGAAGAGGCAAGUGGAAUUCCCGGUGUAGCGGUGAAAUGCGUAGAUAUCGGGAGGAACAUCAGUGGCGAAGGCGGCUACCUGGCCCAAUACUGACACUCAGGUGCGACAGCGUGGGGAGCAAACAGG